rnacentral:rRNA from 1 species
UGGGGAAUAUUGGACAAUGGGGGGAACCCUGAUCCAGCCAUGCCGCGUGUGUGAAGAAGGUCUUCGGAUUGUAAAGCACUUUAAGUUGGGAGGAAGGGCAGUAAGCGAAUACCUUGCUGUUUUGACGUUACCGACAGAAUAAGCACCGGCUAACUCUGUGCCAGCAGCCGCGGUAAUACAGAGGGUGCAAGCGUUAAUCGGAAUUACUGGGCGUAAAGCGCGCGUAGGUGGUUCGUUAAGUUGAAUGUGAAAGACCCGGGCUCAACCUGGGAACUGCAUCCAAAACUGGCGAGCUAGAGUAGGGCAGAGGGUGGUGGAAUUUCCUGUGUAGCGGUGAAAUGCGUAGAUAUAGGAAGGAACACCAGUGGCGAAGGCGACCACCUGGGCUCAUACUGACACUGAGGUGCGAAAGCGUGGGGAGCAAACAGG